UACGUAGGGGGCUAGCGUUGUCCGGAUUUAUUGGGCGUAAAGAGCGUGUAGGCGGCCAGGUAGGUCUGCUGUGAAAACUCGAGGCUCAACCUCGAGACGUCGGCGGAAACCAUCUGGCUAGAGUCCGGAAGAGGAGAGUGGAAUUCCUGGUGUAGCGGUGAAAUGCGCAGAUAUCAGGAAGAACACCCGUGGCGAAGGCGGCUCUCUGGGACGGCACUGACGCUGAGACGCGAAAGCGUGGGGAGCGAACAGG
rnacentral:rRNA from 1 species